GAUGAACGCUAGCGGCAGGCCUAACACAUGCAAGUCGAGGGAGAAGCCCUUUCGGGGGCAGAAACCGGCGCACGGGUGCGUAACGCGUAUGCAACCUACCUUUCACAGGGGGAUAGCCCGAAGAAAUUUGGAUUAAUACCCCAUAAUAUUAUUGGAUGGCAUCAUUUGAUAAUUAAAACUGCGGUGGUGAAAGACGGGCAUGCGUCCUAUUAGCUAGUUGGAGUGGUAACGGCACCCCAAGGCUACGAUAGGUAGGGGUCCUGAGAGGGAGAUCCCCCACACUGGUACUGAGACAGGGACCAGACUCCUACGGGAGGCAGCAGUGAGGAAUAUUGGUCAAUGGUCGGAAGACUGAACCAGCCAUGCCGCGUGCAGGAAGAAUGCCUUAUGGGUUGUAAACUGCUUUUAUAUGGGAAGAAUAAGGUGUACGUGUACAUUGAUGACGGUACCAUAUGAAUAAGCAUCGGCUAACUCCGUG
rnacentral:rRNA from 1 species